CGUGAACGCUGGCGGUAGGCCUAACGCAUGCAAGUCGAACGGCAGCACAGUAAGAGCUUGCUCUUACGGGUGGCGAGUGGCGGACGGGUGAGGAAUACAUCGGAAUCUACUUUUUCGUGGGGGAUAACGUAGGGAAACUUACGCUAAUACCGCAUACGACCUGCGGGUGAAAGCAGGGGAUCUUCGGACCUUGCGCGAUUGAAUGAGCCGAUGUCGGAUUAGCUAGUUGGCGGGGUAAAGGCCCACCAAGGCGACGAUCCGUAGCUGGUCUGAGAGGAUGAUCAGCCACACUGGAACUGAGACACGGUCCAGACUCCUACGGGAGGCAGCAGUGGGGAAUAUUGGACAAUGGGCGCAAGCCUGAUCCAGCCAUACCGCGUGGGUGAAGAAGGCCUUCGGGUUGUAAAGCCCUUUUGUUGGGAAAGAAAAGCAGCAGGUUAAUACCCCGCUGUUCUGACGGUACCCAAAGAAUAAGCACCGGCUAACUUCGUG
rnacentral:rRNA from 1 species